rnacentral:rRNA from 1 species
CCUACGGGUGGCAGCAGUGAGGAAUAUUGGUCAAUGGGAGAGAUCCUGAACCAGCCAAGCCGCGUGAGGGAAGACGGCCCUAUGGGUUGUAAACCUCUUUUGUCGGAGAACAAAACCCGGGACGUGUCCCGGACUGCGUGUAUCCGAAGAAAAAGCAUCGGCUAACUCCGUGCCAGCAGCCGCGGUAAUACGGAGGAUGCGAGCGUUAUCCGGAUUUAUUGGGUUUAAGGGGUGCUUAGCCGGGUUGACAAGUCAGAUGUGAAAUCCUGCGGCUUAACCGCAGAACUGCAUUUGAAACUGUUGAUAUUGAGUACUGGAGAGGCAGACGGAAUUCCUAGUGUAGCGGUGAAAUGCGUAGAUAUUAGGAGGAACACCAGUGGCGAAGGCGGUCUGCUGGACAGCAACUGACGGUGAGGCGCGAAAGCGUGGGGAGCAAACAGGAUUAGAUACCCCAGUAGUC